rnacentral:rRNA from 1 species
AAAAUUCGUUUUUUAUUUAUAAUAAUUAACCAAAAUAAAGUUUUUUUAUAGUUUUAACUUUUUUUUUCCAGUUCCGUAAGGGAAUUAAAAUUUUUUUAAAGAAUAGGUUAAAUAUUUUACCUUUUGUAUCAUGGUUAAGCAAAGGAAUUUUUUUAUUUUUUUUCUAGAAAGAAAAAGGUUACUUAGAAGAUGUUUUUAGAACUAAGAGCAAAUUAUUUCAAUAAUUUCUUUUUACUUUUAAGUUGUAAUGAGAUGUUUCGUUCUUUUCUUAUAGCUAGUUGUCUUUUGAAUCUUCUUAGAGUUUUAAAAGAAGGGUAAGCUUUCUUUUUAUAAAUAACAUUUUCAGUAGAUUAAAAUUUAAGAAUGAAAGUUUUUUUAAUUUAAUAAUGUGUUAUAACUUAUUUAGUUUUUUCGUUGUUUUUAUUUUUUUGAGACUCUUUAAGAAUUUUCUUGUUAAAAUAAAUAAUGCUUAAAUUAGCAUAUUGUUUUUUUUUUCUUUAUGAACUCGGCAAUAAAGAGUCUGACUGUUUUCAAAAACAUAGUCUUUUGGUUUUUUAUGAAAGAUGAUUUCUGCUCAAUGAUGUUUAUAAAUAGCCGCGGUAAUUUGACCGUGCAAAGGUAGCAUAAUCAUUUGCCUCAUAAUUGGGGGCUGGAAUGAAUGGAAUAACAAGAUUCUUGCUUUAUUAAGGAAAUAAAUAAAAUUUGCUUUUUUAGUGAAGAAGCUAAAAUUUAAAUGUAGGACAAGAAGACCCUUUUGAGUUUUAUUAAUCUUUUUUUUUUUAAAUUCGAUUAAUUUGGUUGGGGCGACCAAGGAAAAGAUGGAUCUUCCUUAUGAAUUUUGAUCCAAAGUUAUUGAUAAACAGAAUAAACUACCAAAGGGAUAACAGCGUAAUUUUUUUUGUGAGUUCUUAUUAAAAAAAAAGAUUGCGACCUCGAUGUUGACUUAUAGUUUCCUUUUGGUGCAGCCGCUAACAAGGUAGGUCUGUUCGACCUUUAAAACUUUACGUGAGUCUGAGUUCAGACCGGCGUGAGCCAGGUUGGUUUCUAUCUUCAUUAUUUUAUUAAGUCUCCUAGUACGAAAGGAUUGGAUUGGCUUUUUUAUGCUUCG